GAACUUAUUGUUCAGCGCGUAUGUAUUCUUAUACUCACGCUGAUCCUUCAAUGACGACAGUGUAAGGUAUGAUUUAGCAUCUUUAGCAUCUUUAAGGUAUGAUUUAGCAUCUUUAUGAUUUAGCAUCUUCAUAACAAGAAUCUGUCUUUCAUCCUCCAUAAUGGUGCACCAUUCAUUCGCAGACAAGUAGCGGGAAGCAGGAAAAGGGGGACUAGACGGCACCAGCAGUAAGUUGCCAUCAUGCAGGUGCAUUCACUGACAUUAUGCCUUGCCAUCUUAUAUUCCAAGGACACGAGCAGAAGGAGAAUCGCAAGGAACAGAACAAGCGCAAGGAUGGUAAGGUUAUGAUUCAUAUCCUGACAUUAUGCCUUGCCAUUUUAUAUUCCAAGGACACGAGCAGAAGGAGAANNNNNNNNNNNNNNNNNNNNNNNNNNNNNNNNNNNNNNNNNNNNNNNNNNNACCAUCCUUGCGCUUGUCCUGUUCCUUGCGAUUCUCCUUCUGCUCGUGUCCUUGGAAUGUAAAAUGGCAAGGCAUAAUGUCAGUGUAUGCACCUGCAUGAUGGCAACUUACAGAGGUCGGCAAAUAAGGCGGGUCCUGCGGGUCCGUACCACAGUACCCGCAGCCGAAAUUCGGCUUCAGGCCCCGGCUGCGGGUCCCUUAUCACCAAAAUUUGACCGAAAAACGUGGUUUGCAGCCUCUAUUGCGGCCCGUAGGGCCGCGCGCUGGUGUGUUUGACUUCGGAUUUUUUCUUAGGUUUACUGACCAUUAUUGUGCCCUCCCGCAGCCGUCAAAAUCGAUUUGCUGACCUCUGGAUAUGAACAAGAGUCGGGCUCAAAAGGGACGUGGCAGGCCACGUAGCGGCCGUUCGGAGGUAUGGUUGCCUCUGGUUGCAAGACCACGGCUACAGGUGCGAUCGCCUAAUUCCAAUAGUUUUGCCUUCCUAAGAGCCUCAGAAAUUCGGUGGUUGACGGAAUUUAGCGCGAUAAAUUGCAUUGGAUUCCUAUUCCAGUCCUAUAUGUACGACAAGGGUCGCAGAUUUUACUCUUGUGUCGUUGCACCGCAAUAAUGUGAAAUGUCGAUGGGGGUCAAAUAGGGGGGUCCUUGUGAAGCAGCUGCCCGCGUUUCCAACGCACGUAUGGUGUUGGAUUGUAAGGUGCCCAAGUACGUUUGCGAGGAAGAGAAUGUGGCCAGGCUGGAGAGGAAAGUGCAGUGGCAUAUUGGAAUGUGAGAUUAGCGUAAGCGAGUUACAGGGCGUUUGGCGCACGGGCGAAUUUACGUAGCAUCAGUCCUCAGUUCACUUCUUGGAACGAACAUCAGCAUAGGUCCAAGCCCUCUCGCUUGGAGGGAUAUGCAAACAAACAUCCUGAUAGGGGUAAACUCGCACGCUACCGAGCAUUCAACCGAGCAUAUGCAUGCUUAGUUGAAUGGUGAGAUGCGACCCCCCCUUCAUUUCGUGCUCGGCAAGCCUGCCACCGCGUACCGGAUAUGUUGGCGAUGUUACAGAGACGCUGCACCUUGGUUUCUGUGCGCAAUGCGACCCCGCCGACCAAAACUACACGUGCCCAACUGAAGACAUUCCCGGUGGUUGUGCAGCAGCUCUUGAGGCUGUUGCUGGCUGAAAUCCACCCAGAGCUGUUGCAACACGGCUAACGCGGGCACGUCCCUAUGCACAGCAAAUAGCUGUUCCAAGCCAACAGCGGCGUCCAUGUCACCGACAAGGCUCUAAACGUCUUAUCUGUUCUUAUGUUUAAUUAAGUUUAUGUAUGUUAUACUUUGCGCAACUUUGUAAUUUGACUUUACUCUGAAAAAGGUGCUGUAUAUGUUGCACUACCGAAUCCGCGCCCGUUUGCUUGCGCAAACUGCCGCUUCGCCAAACGCUUCCUCUUCCCGCGGUCGUUUCAAGCGCCCAGUCUUGCAAACCACGUUGUUUGCUUUCUGUGCUUUCAAUUACAUCAAAGCAGGCAUCCCAUUGUCCGGGCUGCAUGCCGCGUGCGCCUGUGGCCAGCAUGCCUUCCUGCGAUUCGCGCUGUCGCACCGCGGCCUUUCUUCUAAGAAAAUUUAUAUACACUUGUACACGCGCAUUUUGCGAAUCGCACGCGCGCAUCCGCGCGUUAAAAUUCGGUCCUGUCUUUGGGCCAUUUUGUACGGUCUGUUUAUUCGGCACAGUACGACCCCUCACAUUUGUGCGAGGGGCUGCUUAAAAAUCGCCUCCGCAGUUGAUCAUACGGUAAUUCCGAUACCCUCAGAACGAGCUCAUAUAGCGCAAUCCUGCCAGAAGCGCCACAAUAAUUACUUACUUGGGCGAGCCGCCCACAGUGUAACACCCCAUCAACUACUUUAAUAUCAUCACUUGGCUCAUUUAAGGUUGCCUUAGCAGUUAUUGAUUACGCCGCACGCCUAGGUUCUGCUCGAUUGCGCUCGGCAUCCCAAUCUUGUCGACAAACAAGGACAUGUCUCGCCACACUCGUUAAGAUUCAUUUAAGAUAACAUAAAUGACAUAGGUAAUAAGCAUAAAACUUGUACAUGCCUCAUCACUGUACAUUGCUGGCUCGGGCGCAAUUCUGACAAUUUCUCGGCGCGACCCAAAGCCAAAGCGACUAUUUUAGCUGGACCUGCUCAGAAUCCUUCGUGUAUUUAUUUAAAUGGAUGAUUUAUGCUCUCAUAAGGCCGUCGCGUGCGUAUCUGUGCACCGAGCAUGUUCAAAUGUCCUGGACCCUGGGGUCGGGUGUCUCCGGAACCAAUAAGGCCUUCUUCCUUGCAACUAUUCUUGCUUGGCUCAAGUAUAGCAUAUUAACCUUCUAAUUAUGAAUUGUAUCAUAAUUAUAAUGCUCCCUAGACACGGAAAUCUGUAAUUAUCGGAUUUACCCACUUAUCGGAAUUAUGCGAUAGCACCUGUAUUAUCUAAUUGCUUUUUAUUGCCUUAUUCCGAGGCACGUUAUGCCGGUGUCACACCUACAGCCAUCAUUGUACGCAACAUGCUCACAACUAUGUCUUCCUGCUUAAACAAUGAUUUGUGGUGAUCCUUUCAUAUGCAGAAAUAUGCCGUCGUUCGUGAAGAUGACACCAGCGGAGGCGAGGAUCGAGCGCUUUAAUAAGAAGACAAUAGUGGCUGUAUUGUGGUACAUUUACAUGCGCUUUACAUUUGUGUGUCCAUUUUUUCUGACGCUUAGACUGUUGAACCCGUUUACAUGGUAAGAGUUGCUGGCUGAGUUGCAUCGGUCAUGUUAGGAUUUGCUAUGAAUUCGUACCUGUUAUUCAGGGAUAGUUGAAAUGUAUGAAGAAAACAGUGAGCGCUGUGGUUCACAGUUCAUGUGCAACGUCGGUGCACUUUAUACAGCUCGUGUACUGCUAUUGUAAAGCAUUGUAUUGCACGGUUGGCCGUACAGUUCGCAGUCCCGCACGCAAAUCGCAGUCAAUUGCGUUAAAUUCAAGUGUUAGCACUUAGGUUUGCGAAAAUUCUGCGAAUGCAUUUGUGAAAGUCGCAAACGCACAUGCAAUCUCAGGAUUCACAGUCGCGUAUGCCAUUCGCAAUCCCGUUCGCGUUAAAAGUUACCUGGUCGCGUUUAGGGUCGCGUAAAACUCGUGAUAUCAUUCGCCGCGUUCCCACAUGCAUAUGCAUUCGCACCUCUGCAGCCGCGUAUGCCAUUCGCAGACGUUUGCGUUAUACCUAUAGGUAAGCUAACGCUCGCGUUAAAAGUGACCUGGUCGCGUU
rnacentral:lncRNA from 1 species